rnacentral:rRNA from 1 species
AAAUGAAUUGACGGGGACCCGCACAAGCAGUGGAGUAUGUGGUUUAAUUCGAAGCAACGCGAAGAACCUUACCAGGGCUUGACAUCCAGAGAAUCCCUAAGAGAUUAGGGAGUGCCGCAAGGAACUCUGAGACAGGUGGUGCAUGGUUGUCGUCAGCUCGUGUCGUGAGAUGUUGGGUUAAGUCCCGCAACGAGCGCAACCCUUACCGUUAGUUGCUACCAUUAAGUUGAGCACUCUAGCGGGACUGCCGGUGACAAAUCGGAGGAAGGUGGGGACGACGUCAAAUCAUCAUGCCCCUUAUGUCCUGGGCUACACACGUACUACAAUGGCCGUUAACAAAGGGAAGCAAAAUCGCGAGGUGGAGCAAAUCCCCAAAAGCGGCCUCAGUUCAGAUUGCAGGCUGAAACCCGCCUGCAUGAAGUCGGAAUUGCUAGUAAUCGCGAAUCAGCAUGUCGCGGUGAAUACGUUCCCGGGUCUUGCACACACCGCCCGU